UAAUUCUAGAGCUAAUACAUGCAUCAACUCCCAACUGCUUCGGCGGACGGGAUGUAUUUAUUAGAUGGAAACCAAUACCGAGUUUUCUCGGUUUUUGUGGUGAAUCAUAGUAACUGUGCGAAUCGACUUCGGUCGAUGGUUCAUUCAAGUUUCUGCCCUAUCAGCUUCGGAUGGUAGGGUAUUGGCCUACCAUGGCUUUAACGGGUAACGGAGAAUUGGGGUUCGAUUCCGGAGAGGGAGCC
rnacentral:rRNA from 14 species